GGUGGAGCACAACGUCGAAAGCAGCCGUUGGGAGCCCAGGAGGCGGGGCGCCUGUGGGAGCCGUGGAGGGAACUUUCCCAGUCCCCGAGGCGGAUCCGGUGUUGCAUCCUUGGAGCGAGCUGAGAGCUCGAGUACAGAACCUGCUAAGGCCAUCAAACCUAUUGAUCGGAAGUCAGUCCAUCAGAUUUGCUCUGGGCCGGUGGUACCGAGUCUAAGCACUGCGGUGAAGGAGUUAGUAGAAAACAGUCUGGAUGCUGGUGCCACUAAUAUUGAUCUAAAGCUUAAGGACUAUGGAGUGGAUCUCAUUGAAGUUUCAGGCAAUGGAUGUGGGGUAGAAGAAGAAAACUUCGAAGGCUUAACUCUGAAACAUCACACAUCUAAGAUUCAAGAGUUUGCCGACCUACCUCAGGUUGAAACUUUUGGCUUUCGGGGGGAAGCUCUGAGCUCACUUUGUGCACUGAGUGAUGUCACCAUUUCUACCUGCCAUGUAUCGGCGAAGGUUGGGACUCGACUGGUGUUUGAUCACUAUGGGAAAAUCAUCCAGAAAACCCCCUACCCCCACCCCAGAGGGAUGACAGUCAGUGUGAAGCAGUUAUUUUCUACGCUACCUGUGCACCAUAAAGAAUUUCAAAGGAAUAUUAAGAAGCCUCCAAUUUACAGUCUAAAACAUGUACGCGGUGGCCCUGAGCUGUUGUGUAAAUGGACUCACUGCCCUGAGGCCACCAUGCUGCAAGGAAGCCCAAGCUAACCCUAGGAUGUGCCCUGAGACGACAUGAAGACGCAUCCCCAGCCAGCCUUCCACUACCCCAUCCUUCACUGCCCCAUUCUCACCCCCGCCCACCUCCUUACUCCCUCCACCCCUCCACCUGCCUCCAGCCAGAAUUGCACAGCCAACUACUUCCAGAAUCGCUGGUCCAAAGAAAUCACGACAGGCGCUAAGUUUGGGGCAAUCCAUUUAAUGCUACUAAGUUGUGGGAUGGUUUGUUUGAGCAGCCCCAGAUAACAAACAUUCCUUGAGGUCACACGCUAACCAAGCUGUGAUUCGAACACUGCCUCUCAAAUUCACGAGCAAAAGAGGGGGAAUUCUGUUUAAAAUGCCAAAAAGAACUCUUUCUUGCUUUUAUUAUUUUUAAUUUAUGUAUAAUAAUUGUAUGUUUAUAUAAUAAUUGUAAUAAUUUACGGGAUACAGGUGAUAUUUCAAUAUAUGUAUACAAUGUGUAAUGAUCACAUCAGGGUGAUUAGCGGAUUCAUUUCCUCAGUUAUCAUUUCUUUGUGUUGGGAACAUUCAAAAUCUGCUCUUCUACCUAUUUGAAUAUAGAAAAUAAAUUGUUUUGUUUUGUUUUUGA
rnacentral:lncRNA from 1 species